rnacentral:RNase_P_RNA from 1 species
GUGCAACAGAAAGAAACCGCCACAAUGGCAAGGGUGGAAAGGCGAGGUAAGAGCUCGCCAGCAUUUAGGUGACUAAAGGGCUAUGUAAACCCCAUCUGGAGCAAGACCAAGAAGGAGCUUAAGAAGAUAGUUGCUCGCUAUCGCUCCAAAGGUAGGUCGCUUGAGCACAUUGGUGACAAUGUGCCUAGAUAGAUGACCAUAUAAACAGAACACGGCUUAUAGACUUACUCAUCAC